rnacentral:rRNA from 1 species
AUUGAACGCUGGCGGCAGGCUUAACACAUGCAAGACGAGCGGAGAUGAGGUGCUUGCACCUUAUCUUAGCGGCGGACGGGUGAGUAAUGCUUAGGAAUCUGCCUAUUAGUGGGGGUCAACAUUCCGAAAGGAAUGCUAAUACCGCAUACAUCCUACGGGAGAAAGCAGGGGAUCUUCGGACCUUGCGCUAAUAGAUUAGCCUCAGUCGGAUUAGCUAGUUGGUGGGGUAAAGGCCUACCAAGGCGACAAUCUGUAGCGGGUCUGAGAGGAUGAUCCGCCACACUGGGACUGAGACACGGCCCAGACUCCUACGGGAGGCAGCAGUGGGGAAUAUUGGACAAUGGGGGGAACCCUGAUCCAGCCAUGCCGCGUGUGUGAAGAAGGCCUUAUGGUUGUAAAGCACUUUAAGCGAGGAGGAGGCUACUGAGACUAAUACUCUUGGAUAGUGGACGUUACUCGCAGAAUAAGCACCGGCUAACUCUGUGCCAGCCGCCGCCGUAA